AGUGAGCGCUGGCGGUAGGCCUAACACAUGCAAGUCGAACGGCAGCACAGUAAGAGCUUGCUCUUACGGGUGGCGAGUGGCGGACGGGUGAGGAAUACAUCGGAAUCUACUUUUUCGUGGGGGAUAACGUAGGGAAACUUACGCUAAUACCGCAUACGACCUACGGGUGAAAGCAGGGGAUCUUCGGACCUUGCGCGAUUGAAUGAGCCGAUGUCGGAUUAGCUAGUUGGCGGGGUAAAGGCCCACCAAGGCGACGAUCCGUAGCUGGUCUGAGAGGAUGAUCAGCCACACUGGAACUGAGACACGGUCCAGACUCCUACGGGAGGCAGCAGUGGGGAAUAUUGGACAAUGGGCGCAAGCCUGAUCCAGCCAUACCGCGUGGGUGAAGAAGGCCUUCGGGUUGUAAAGCCCUUUUGUUGGGAAAGAAAAGCAGCAGGUUAAUACCCCGCUGUUCUGACGGUACCCAAAGAAUAAGCACCGGCUAACCUCGUG
rnacentral:rRNA from 1 species